CCAUAUUCAUCAUUUUAUCACAAAAAUUCGUCCAUACACACCCUAGGAAGCAAAACACCCCAAAAACACCAUUCUAGUGCCUAGAAAACAUAACAACCACUCCACCUUCUUCCACCCUCUUUGCCUAGUUCUCCACCACCCUCCAACCCUCAAACACUCCUCCACACUUACCCUAAACCUUUCCAUACCAUUCCCCAUCCAUUCUACACCAUAAAAACCACCCAAAACCGUCCAAAACCUCUAGUGCCGCUGCUUGCAAGGAAGGAAAGGGAAGGAACAUCUUGUGCCGUGCCUAUGCCCAAGCCUUGGGAGUGUUGGAGCGUUUCUAGGUGUUUUCUAUCUUUGUUUUUAAUGUCUAAAUUUAUGCAUCUUUGCUUUGUAAGUAUGAGGAACUAAACCCCUCUUAGUUAGGGGGUGAUUCGAAACUAUGUUCAUGCUUGCAAUAUGAUUUGAUUACAUCCAGUUGUGAUUCAUAAGUUGUGAAUUCAAUUUACUUAUCCGUUCAUAUAAAAACUAAUUUGUGUAUGUUGGUUAAGAG
rnacentral:lncRNA from 1 species